rnacentral:misc_RNA from 1 species
GAUGAAGAACGUAGCGAAAUGCGAUAAGUAAUGUGUAUUGCAGAAUUCCGUGAAUCAUCGAAUCUUUGAACGCACAUUGCGCCCUCUGGUAUUCCGGGGGGCAUGCCUGUCCGAGCGUCAUUUGCAACCCUCAAGCCCGGCUUGUGUGAUGGGUGCCGUCCCCUACGGGACGCGCCCCGAAGGCAAUGGCGGCGUCGCGGUUAUCCGAUCAGCCAAAGUGUAUGGGGCUUUGUCACUCACUUUACGGCCCGGACCGGCGCCAGUCCGAAUCAAUCUUUUUUCUAAAGUUGACCUCGGAUCAGGUAGGGAUACCCGCUGAACUUAAGCAUAUCAAUAAGCGGAGGA